GGGGAACAGUGACACUAUAUGGGUAGAUGAGGGAGCAGGGGCACUAUAGGGGUAGUUGGGGGAGCAGGGGCACUAUAGGGGUAGUUGGGGAGCAGAGGCACUAUAGGGGUAAAUGGGGGAGCAGAGGCACUAUAGGGGUAGUUGGGGGAGCAGAGGCACAAUAGGGAUAGAUGGGAGGAGCGUGGACUCACCAGGCAGCAGAUUCGGGCCUCGGCUAGUCCCGCCCCCACCGGCCGCUUAGCUCUGCCCCUUAAGUCUCUCUCU